rnacentral:rRNA from 1 species
AGUGAACGCUGGCGGUAGGCCUAACACAUGCAAGUCGAACGGCAGCACAGUAAGAGCUUGCUCUUACGGGUGGCGAGUGGCGGACGGGUGAGGAAUACAUCGGAAUCUACUUUUUCGUGGGGGAUAACGUAGGGAAACUUACGCUAAUACCGCAUACGACCUACGGGUGAAAGCAGGGGAUCUUCGGACCUUGCGCGAUUGAAUGAGCCGAUGUCGGAUUAGCUAGUUGGCGGGGUAAAGGCCCACCAAGGCGACGAUCCGUAGCUGGUCUGAGAGGAUGGUCAGCCACACUGGAACUGAGACACGGUACAGACUCCUACGGGAGGCAGCAGUGGGGAAUAUUGGACAAUGGGCGCGAGCCUGAUCCAGCCGUGCCGCGUGGGUGAAGAAGGCCUUCGGGUUGUAAAGCCCUUUUGUUGGGAAAGAAAAGCAGCAGGUUAAUACCCCGCUGUUCUGACGGUACCCAAAGAAUAAGCACCGGCUAACUUCGUG